rnacentral:rRNA from 1 species
AGAUGGGAGCUUGCUCCCUGAUGUUAGCGGCGGACGGGUGAGUAACACGUGGGUAACCUGCCUGUAAGACUGGGAUAACUCCGGGAAACCGGGGCUAAUACCGGAUGGUUGUUUGAACCGCAUGGUUCAGACAUAAAAGGUGGCUUCGGCUACCACUUACAGAUGGACCCGCGGCGCAUUAGCUAGUUGGUGAGGUAACGGCUCACCAAGGCAACGAUGCGUAGCCGACCUGAGAGGGUGAUCGGCCACACUGGGACUGAGACACGGCCCAGACUCCUACGGGAGGCAGCAGUAGGGAAUCUUCCGCAAUGGACGAAAGUCUGACGGAGCAACGCCGCGUGAGUGAUGAAGGUUUUCGGAUCGUAAAGCUCUGUUGUUAGGGAAGAACAAGUGCCGUUCAAAUAGGGCGGCACCUUGACGGUACCUAACCAGAAAGCCACGGCUAACUACGUGCCAGCAGCCGCGGUAAUACGUAGGUGGCAAGCGUUGUCCGGAAUUAUUGGGCGUAAAGGGCUCGCAGGCGGUUUCUUAAGUCUGAUGUGAAAGCCCCCGGCUCAACCGGGGAGGGUCAUUGGAAACUGGGGAACUUGAGUGCAGAAGAGGAGAGUGGAAUUCCACGUGUAGCGGUGAAAUGCGUAGAGAUGUGGAGGAACACCAGUGGCGAAGGCGACUCUCUGGUCUGUAACUGACGCUGAGGAGCGAAAGCGUGGGGAGCGAACAGGAUUAGAUACCCUGGUAGUCCACGCCGUAAACGAUGAGUGCUAAGUGUUAGGGGGUUUCCGCCCCUUAGUGCUGCAGCUAACGCAUUAAGCACUCCGCCUGGGGGAGUACGGGUCGCAAGACUGAAACUCAAAGGGAAUUGACGGGGGGCCCGCACAAGCGGUGGAGCAUGUGGUUUAAUUCGAAGCAACGCGAAGAACCUUACCAGGUCUUGACAUCCUCUGACAAUCCUAGAGAUAGGACGUCCCCUUCGGGGGCAGAGUGACAGCGUGGUGCAUGGAGUCGUCAGCCUCGUGUCCUGAAGAUGUUGGGUUAAGUCCCGCACGAGCGCAACCCUUGAUCUUAGUUGCCAGCAUUCAGUUGGGCACUCUAAGGUGACUGCCGGUGACAAACCGGAGGAAGGUGGGGAUGACGUCUUAUCAUCAUGCCCCUUAUGACCUGGGCUACACACGUGCUACAAUGGACAGAACAAAGGGCAGCGAAACCGCGAGGUUAAGCCAAUCCCACAAAUCUGUUCUCAGUUCGGAUCGCAGUCUGCAACUCGACUGCGUGAAGCUGGAAUCGCUAGUAAUCGCGGAUCAGGAUGCCGCGGUCAAUACGUUCCCGCGCCUUGUACACACCGCC